rnacentral:rRNA from 1 species
GUCGGAAUCUAGGAGGACCAUCUCCUAAGGCUAAAUACUCUCUAGUGACCGAUAGUGAACCAGUACCGUGAGGGAAAGGUGAAAAGUACCCCGGAAGGGGAGUGAAAAAGAACUUGAAACCGUGUGCUUACAAGUAGUCAGAGCCCGUUAAUGGGUGAUGGCGUGCCUUUUGUAGAAUGAACCGGCGAGUUACGAUCUGAUGCAAGGUUAAGCAGCGAAUGUGGAGCCGUAGCGAAAGCGAGUCUGAAUAGGGCGAAUGAGUAUUUGGUCGUAGACCCGAAACCAGGUGAUCUACCCAUGGUCAGGUUGAAGUUCAGGUAACACUGAAUGGAGGACCGAACCGACUUACGUUGAAAAGUGAGCGGAUGAACUGUGGGUAGCGGAGAAAUUCCAAUCGAACUUGGAGAUAGCUGGUUCUCUCCGAAAUAGCUUUAGGGCUAGCCUCAAGUGAUGAUUAUUGGAGGUAGAGCACUGUUUGGACGAGGGGCCCCUCUCGGGUUACCGAAUUCAGACAAACUCCGAAUGCCAAUCAAUUUAACUUGGGAGUCAGAACGUGGGCGAUAAGGUUCAUGUUCGAAAGGGAAACAGCCCAGACCACCAGCUAAGGUCCCAAAAUAUAUGUUAAGUGGAAAAGGAUGUGGCGUUGCCCAGACAACUAGGAUGUUGGCUUAGAAGCAGCCAUCAUUUAAAGAGUGCGUAAUAGCUCACUAGUCGAGUGACGCUGCGCCGAAAAUGUACCGGGGCUAAACAUAUUACCGAAGCUGUGGAUUGUCCUUCGGACAAUGGUAGGAGAGCGUUCUAAGGGCGUUGAAGCAUGAUCGCAAGGACAUGUGGAGCGCUUAGAAGUGAGAAUGCCGGUGUGAGUAGCGAAAGACGGGUGAGAAUCCCGUCCACCGAUUGACUAAGGUUUCCAGAGGAAGGCUCGUCCGCUCUGGGUUAGUCGGGUCCUAAGCUGAGGCCGAUAGGCGUAGGCGAUGGAUAACAGGUUGAUAUUCCUGUACCACCCACUUUCGUUUUAAGCGAUGGGAGGACGCAGUAGGAUAGGCGAAGCGUGCGAUUGGAUGUACGUUCAAGCAGUAAGGCUGAGUGUUAGGCAAAUCCGGCACUCGUCAGGCUGAGCUGUGAUGAGGAGGGGGAAUUGUUCCCCUGAGUCGCUGAUUUCACACUGCCGAGAAAAGUCUCUAGCUAGAAAAGGGGUGCCCGUACCGCAAACCGACACAGGUAGUCAAGAUGAGAAUUCUAAGGUGAGCGAGCGAACUCUCGUUAAGGAACUCGGCAAAAUGACCCCGUAACUUCGGGAGAAGGGGUGCUCUCUGGGGUGUACGCUCCGGAGAGCCGCAGUGAAUAGGCCCAAGCGACUGUUUAUCAAAAACACAGGUCUCUGCUAAACCGUAAGGUGAUGUAUAGGGGCUGACGCCUGCCCGGUGCUGGAAGGUUAAGAGGAGUGGUUAGCUUCUGCGAAGCCACGAAUCGAAGCCCCAGUAAACGGCGGCCGUAACUAUAACGGUCCUAAGGUAGCGAAAUUCCUUGUCGGGUAAGUUCCGACCCGCACGAAAGGCGUAACGAUUUGGGCACUGUCUCAACGAGAGACUCGGUGAAAUCAUAGUACCUGUGAAGAUGCAGGUUACCCGCGACAGGACGGAAAGACCCCGUGGAGCUUUACUGUAGCCUGAUAUUGAAAUUCGGCACAGCUUGUACAGGAUAGGUAGGAGCCUUAGAAACGUGAGCGCUAGCUUACGUGGAGGCGUUGGUGGGAUACUACCCUCGCUGUGUUGGAUUUCUAACCCGCACCACUGAUCGUGGUGGGAGACAGUGUCAGGUGGGCAGUUUGACUGGGGCGGUCGCCUCCCAAAAGGUAACGGAGGCGCUCAAAGGUUCCCUCAGAAUGGUUGGAAAUCAUUCAUAGAGUGUAAAGGUAUAAGGGAGCUUGACUGCGAGACCUACAAGUCGAGCAGGGUCGAAAGACGGACUUAGUGAUCCGGUGGUUCCGCAUGGAAGGGCCAUCGCUCAACGGAUAAAAGCUACCCCGGGGAUAACAGGCUUAUCUCCCCCAAGAGUUCACAUCGACGGGGAGGUUUGGCACCUCGAUGUCGGCUCAUCGCAUCCUGGGGCUGUAGUCGGUCCCAAGGGUUGGGCUGUUCGCCCAUUAAAGCGGUACGCGAGCUGGGUUCAGAACGUCGUGAGACAGUUCGGUCCCUAUCCGUCGUGGGCGUAGGAAAUUUGAGAGGAGCUGUCCUUAGUACGAGAGGACCGGGAUGGACAUACCUCUGGUGUACCAGUUGUCGU